CGUUGCUCGGAAUGACUGGGCGUAAAGGGCGCGUAGGCGGWUUGUACAGUCWGRCGUGAAAUUCYCGGGCUCAACCUGGGGGCUGCACUUGAUACGUGCAAUCUGGAGUCCGGAAGAGGGUGGUGGAAUUCCCAGUGUAGAGGUGAAAUUCGUAGAUAUUGGGAAGAACACCGGUGGCGAAGGCGGCCACCUGGUCCKKGACUGACGCUGAGGCGCGAAAGCGUGGGGAGCAAACAGGAUUAGAUACCCUGGUAGUCCACGCCGUAAACGAUGUGCGCUGGAUGUUGGGGGGCCUAGCCCUUCAGUGUCGUAACUAACGCGGUAAGCGCACCGCCUGGGGAGUACCGCCGCAAGGUUGAAACUCAAAG
rnacentral:rRNA from 1 species